GAUGAACGCUGGCGGCGUGCCUAAUACAUGCAAGUCGAGCGAACAGAUGAGGAGCUUGCUCCUCUGACGUUAGCGGCGGACGGGUGAGUAACACGUGGAUCACCUACCUAUAAGACUGGGAUAACUUCGGGAAACCGGAUCUAAUACCGGAUAAUAUCUUGAACCGCAUGGUUCAAUGGUGAAAGUCGGUUUUGCUGUCACUUAUCGCUGGAUCCGCGCCUCGUUAGCUAGUUGGUAAGGUACCGGCUUACCAAGGCAACGAUGCGUAGCCGACCUGGGGGGGGGAUGGGCCACACUGAAACUGAGACACGGUCCAGACUCCGACGGGAGGCAGCAGGAGGGAAUGGACCGAAAUGGGGGAAAGCCUGACGGAGCAACGGCAGGUGGGUGAAGAAGGGCUGCGGGUCGGAAAACGCUGUUAUUAGGGAAGAACAAAUGUGUAAGUAACGAUGCGCGUCUGAAGGGAACCUAAUCAGAAAGCCACGCCUAACUACGG
rnacentral:rRNA from 1 species